GAACGUAAUUUUUUUUAUAGUAUUUAGAAUGAAAUCUAAAUGUAUAAUGUGAAAUGUUACACUGGUAUGGCAUGGCAUGGCAUGGCAUGGUAUGGUGUGGUGUGGUGUGGUGUGGUGUGGUAUGGUAUGGUAUGGUAUGGUAUGGUAUGGUAUGUGCCGGGGUGAGUACUCCUCUCAUUUUCCCAUCUUUGAGUUGUGUGUUUCAGGAGAGGGAGGCUCCAGCUGCAGCUGAUUUGCAAUCAUCGGGUCUGGCUACAAAAGGAGGAUGAAGAACACUCCUCGACGCUGGAUGAUUACUACAGCUUGGUUUUGGAACGUUUUUGGACUUCUGUGACUUCUCUGGAUUACGUCUCUGGUUUUCUGCAACUCCUCAGCAUUACUCACCUGUGUCCCAUAGGAUUUCCGGACGCAGCUCUCACCGUUCUCCAUUCCUCCUGGCCGGCCCGCUCUCCUGCUCUCCUCUUGCUCCCUCUCCUGGACACUCCACUUGGAUUCACCCUGGCACCCAACCUACCCUCCCUCAUUCCUACACUCCCCUACUCCAACGCUGCACUCCCGUUCUCGAUCUCCACUGGGCUUUUCCAGUGCACCUUCAGUUCCCGUUUUAAAAUAAAGAUUCUUUUUUUU